UCUCUUUGGUGGUCUCUGCGAGGC
rnacentral:siRNA from 1 species